GGGCGUGCCCAGCUCCGUGGGGGCGUGCCCAGGCUCCGCGGCGGGGGCCCAUGCUAUUAGUGAAGCAGCAGGGUCGGGCCAGCGCCUGGUCUUAUGUGCCCCACUCCGCAGGGGCGUGUCCUGAUUCCUUGGGGGGGCGUGCCCGGGGACAUGCUGUUAGUGCAGCCACAGGGUCUGGGCAGCAUCCGGUUUCACUCCAUGCAACGGGCUCAUGCUCGCGGUGCCUGCCUGGCCAGAAGUGGAAACUCUCUCUGAGGCCGGAGGCGGCGGCGGCGGCGGCGGCUCCGGCCCGACUCUCCCAAUCCCGUCGGUGGGGGCCUCGGCGCCCCAGCCCCCCGUCACGGGGCUCCCGGCGCUCCCCCGGCACGGCCCCCUCCGGCCCCCUCCGGGGUGGUCGCUCUCCUGAGCCACCAGGCCGGGCCCCGCCGCGGCCCUCGGCCUUCUGGGCUCCCCGGCACAGCCCCAGGUGUCAGGGCAGACGUCCUGUCGGUUCACAGCAACAACAGUGGGUUCCAGGGCUGCUUCUGCGGGCCAGGCGGCUCCACGAGAGUCCGGGGGCCACAGCUGCUCCUUCGGAGCAUCGCUGGCCUCCUCCGCACCACAAGGGCGGGUGGGCUCCUUCCGCAGGGGGCUGGGCUGCUGGAGCCACAUGCGAGCUCCGGGCAAGGAGGAGCCAGAACCACGGGCCUCAGGGGGCUCGGUCUCACUGCCAAGGGCAUCUCCGGACGGGUCAUUCACUGCAGUCUCAGAGGGACCCCCAUCCUCGCUGCCAGCACCAGACAUCCCCCCCAGCCUGGUCGGAGUGGGGGCUCUGAGGGGACCUGAGAGCAGGGCUGGGGGGCUCUUCCCCAGGUCCCCAUUUUCUUCAAUGCGCAGCACCCCACAGGCACUCCCCGGCCCCCCAGAGACACGUCUAGUACGGGGCAUCAAAUAAGCAGACGAGAGGGUGGCAUGGGGUUCUGGAGAGGCGCACAAGGGGGCCGACAGCUCCGAUCUCGGGGACAUGGAGGAGCUGGUCUGGAGAAAAAUCGGGACAAAGGGGAAGUUUGAGACCCUUUGAGCUCGGGAGGGGCUCUGACCAUCUCCUGGGGCACGCAAGGAAACCCCUCAAACCCCAGCGGCUCGUGGCAGGGAGCUCACUUUUGGACACCGGGCCCACUGACCCCCCCAGGGGCCUCCAAGGGUGUCCCCCAAAGGCAGUCACAAGGGGCUGGGGGAGACAUCUCUGAAACCUCCCAGUGUGGAGGAAGACUGAAGGGGGCCGACAUUCAGAUAAGGACCUUGACAGAGGCACUCCCAUGCACAUGUGCACAUACACACACGGGCAAACACGUGUGUGUGCACCAGCAUGAGCUCAGCGCAAACACAGGUGCAAACACACACGUGUGUACAACAGCAUAAACGCGUGCAACGAGCACACACGCGUACACGCACAUACCAGCAUGAGCUCAGCACAAACAUGUGCAAGCUCACCCACAAACGUGUGCACACCAGCACAAACACACAUGUGCAAUGAGCACAUACACACUCACAUGUGCAAACACAUGCACACACCAAACAAUGUAUUGCACACGCGUGCACACAAGCACUGCACACACACACACCCCUUAUUAAGACACCCCCCUUGGGGACCCCAGCAGCCCUCCCCUGCCUCCCCAGCACUGAAGCCUUCCUCGGCCAACAAGAGAACACCCUUUCCCCUCCUCCUCCCCAUAGACCCAUCUCCUCCAAGGCCUUCCUGCGCCAGCCCCCCACCCCCGGGACGAGAGCCCGCCCUACACCUCACCAGCUCCCGGCCGGUCCAAACCUCGGCCCCAGAACUGGGAGUGUCCCAGUGUCCGAGGCUCCCCCCGGGGGCACCAGAGAGAUCUCCACAGAGUUCUGUCGGAGCAGAACAAGAUGGCACCACGGGCCUCCCUCCAUCCCCCCGCAGAGACUUCUCCCAGAGAGCAAGCCGGUGGGGCGGCUCCCCCUCCCUCUCUGCCCCUCCCCAGGAGGCAAGGCCAGGUCAGCAAGUUGUGGAGAAAUCAAUCACCGUCGAUACCCAUUUAGAUCCUGGCAGAUCUCACCUUCUAAAUAAAACAUGGCAGCCCAUCUGUGGCUCAGGGGACAUGGGGGAGGGGGGCUGCCCAGAGCCUGAGUUGGGAGUGGCUGGGGCAGGCCGAGGGGCCCGGCCCAGGACCCAUUCCCAGGCAGUGCGGGCCCGCCGGCCCUGGGUUUCCCUC
rnacentral:lncRNA from 1 species